rnacentral:rRNA from 1 species
GACGAACGCUGGCGGCGUGCUUAACACAUGCAAGUCGAGCGGUAAGGCCCUUCGGGGUACACGAGCGGCGAACGGGUGAGUAACACGUGGGUGAUCUACCCUGUACUUCGGGAUAAGCCUGGGAAACUGGGUCUAAUACCGGAUAUGACCUUCCGAUGCAUGUCGGUGGGUGGAAAGAUUUAUCGGUAGAGGAUGGGCCCGCCGGCCUAUCAGAUUGUUGGUGGGGUAAUGGCCUACCAAGGCGAAGACGGGUAGCCGGCGUGAGAGGGCGACCGUCUACACUGGGACGGAGACACGGCCCAAAGUCCUACGGGAGGCAGCAGUGGGGAAUAUUGCACAAUGGGCGAAAGCCUGAUGCAGCGACGCCGCGUGAGGGAUGACGGCCUUCGGGUUGUAAAUCUCUUUCGACAGGGACGAAGCGCAAGUGACGGUACCUGUAGAAGAAGCACCGGCCAACUACGUGCCAGCCGCCGCCGUAAUAC